AUGCCCGCUUCGCCUCCCCUACUCACCGCUCCAGCCGUCGGAGACCCUUUCCCUGAGUGGUGUCAGCACUGCAGCCGCCUCCGUGCGGGCGCCGCUCCGGCUCGCUUCCCCGGGCCGCCUCCGUCUGCCACUCUCGCCUGCAGCGCGCAGAGUGGUGACUCCUCUGAGCGUGUCAGCGGCGAGAGGAGGGGCGGGAAAGUGACUCCUGGCUUGCACGCUGCGGUCCUCCUCCCCUCCUCCGCCUCCCUCCUCCCCCGGUGCUGCAGUGCCGGGCGGCGGCGUGGCGAGAGUACCAGCGGUGCGCAGGGUGUCACGGCGCGCGGGGGGAGGCGGGCGCCGCGCGCCACUCGCGGUGCUCCGGCAAGUCGCGGUGGUGAGGCGCUGCUGAGGAGACCCCAACUCGCGCUUCACUGUUCCAAAGCGGUGGAGAGAAACUCGCUCCGCGAGGCCACACCCAGGCCUGGCGCACCCACCCAGCGGCACCAUCGGAGGGCGUCGCCCUCCCAGGCCUUCCGACGCGGACCCUGCCAUCCGGAUGCUGCGGGAAGUAGGGCAUCCCCACGUCCCUGACUCCUCCAGCUCCGAGCUGUCACGGAACCCAUGUGGAGUGGGAAGCAGUCACACAGGCGUGUGCCUUCCGCGAAAUCGUGGCUCUUGUGGUGGUGACCCAAAGCGAGACAAAGCGCGGCGCCAGUACGGGCUGCAGUGGUUGGAACUCACACACACACAUCUCUCCGCGAAUGUGUUCCAUACGUGUAAAUAUGCCUGGGUGAUUGAAUGGAUGGCUGAAUGAACGCUGUGUGGAUAGAAAUAUAAACGUUACAUGUAUAGUGCAGGCGCCAGGGAAGGAGAGCUAUCAGGCAUCCCCAGGCUGGAGCCUCCUGCACGGAGGAGCCGGUGGAGCCAGGCCGUUCGCCCAGGGCGGUGUUAACUUGGGCUUUCCAAUUCGAUUUGUGCCACUAUGCAGGAUACUGUGAAGAGAAGAAAAUGGAGACAACUCUUGGCCUCUCAUUUUCUCUCCUUUCUGGUUCAGACACUCUGGAACUGUAAGUUAUGGUUCUCAUGUGCUGGUGAACCUACACUUCCUUGCUCGGUCUUUCUUGUUCUGGUGAGAGGCUUUGCAGUCUGUGACCGUAGGCAGUGCUAUGAGAUGGUGAGGCAACAUGAAAAUUAGUGAACGUGCUCAUUUUCAUUUCGUGGAUUUUUCUUAGUAAAAUAAUUAUUUAAAUAGUUAAAUAAUUUAAAUAGUUAAAUAAUUUAAAUAAUUAUUUAGGCUAAAAUUAAUGUGCUGCUACUAUGACAAGGAAGUGCCUAUGAAUCCAGCAUUGGAAAUACAAUUGUGAAAUUUAAAAAUAACAAAUCCUAUAUGGAUUCCCCACAUGUUAUUUAUAAAAAUUUGAGCUUCCAACUGCAAAAUGUGCUGGCAAUUCACUGAGUUCUCAAACGGGUACCUUUUUGAGAACCUCCCCCAAACUGUUGCUGAAUAAUGGAUUGUUUCUCCAAGUGACAGAAGUUCAGAAAACCAUGAAACAAACCUUAAAAGCGAUCAACGUUCUUCAUGCUAUGCUGUAUCAUCCUUAAAUCAUUCUCCUAUCUUGUCCAUGGAAGAUAUAUAUAUUUUUAAAGUGGAUUGAUUUUUCUACCUCUGGAUUUUCGUGUCUUGAUGCAUUUGAAGGUAACAGCUCCUUUAGGAUAAUCCCUGAUUGUGUGUUUGCAGGAAACAUCCCAUUUAAGACCCGGUUGCACUGGAAAAGGCUAUUUUAACGUUGUGUCUUUGGAGGAUAGGAAACACUUUGUCAUGAUGAUGUUGUGCCCUGGUUCCUGGACUUGCCCUCUAAAGCAGUUCUGGUUCUAGGGUCCUGCCUGGCACACACCUUGGCUCCAGGCCCCUUGGAUCCAGCACUCAGACUAGUUUUAUUCACGCUGUCAUUAUAAUGAAAUGUUUUCUCUCUUCUGAAAACACCUGUCUUGUAGAAGCAUAUGAAGGGAAAAGGGGUACACCCCCCAAUCCCCACAGAAUCCCAGUGCUCUAAAGUCAUUGCCCUCCUACACAUCAGGACUUUUGUUCCUCAAUGCAGAGUAUCUUCCUGUGAUGCUAAAACACAAGCUGUGAAAGACACCUAAUGAGCAUGAGAGGUCUGUUUUUGCAUCAGCAAAGUGGUUUUGAUAAAAAUAAUUCACACUAAGUACAGAUGCUAUAGUGGCUAUAUUUUAUAAUAUACACAAGAAGCACAGUGCCUAGUACAUAAUGGGUAUAGAAUAAAUGUUAGUCACUCUUCCUCUUUUAGUAGUCAGGGCAAGGUUUUCCAAAGGCUGUGCUUUGGAGAAUUGGUUUUGUAAGAUGCUCUGGAAAGUCAGAGUUACACCUGGCUUCCACAGCAGAGGUCUGAAGAGAGCCCCAUACUGUUGGACCAAGUUUGUACAGCUCUCCACUUCUCCUCCUCAUCAUCAGGAGUCUAUAGAAAAGUGCAGACACCUACUCUUCUUAACCCAACACUCAGCUUCUACAACACUCAAAACUAUUUUUUGGCUCUUUUGUAAUUUUAAUCAAGGUAUUACUAUUCAUUUUUAAAAAUUAUCUCUUAUAAGCACCACAUUUUAAUAUCUAAGUCAAUAUUGGCGGAAAGAAACACCACCAAAAACUUCCCUUUGGAACAAAACAAUGAUGUUCAUUCCUCCAAAAAUCCACAUUGAAAGUCUAUCAUAACCAAAACAAAAAAAAGCCCACGGAGAAACAAAAAGUAACAAAAAUCACAUUCUAGGGUGUUAGGACAUUUGGCAGUCUUUACUGUGCUGUUGAACCAUCCUUCAGCUGGCUUUCAAAAAAAUAACACCCUAAGCUCAUCAAAAUAUACAUUUGCCAUUUGCUUUUUAAAAUUAAAAAUAAUAAUUAAAAAGAAAACUUCAAGGAAUUCACAAUCAAUUGCCUGACUUGUUUCAAUGUCAUGUACAGCAUAUGGAAGUGAAAAAGGCCAUUUGCAGCACUUGUGAUUAAGGGAUAUUCAUCUUCAAGGUUUAGCUUUCUUCCAGACAGUGUGAAAUACCCACAAUUUGAAGUUUGAAGGGACACAGACGAUCUCCUUUGAGAAUUCCACAAGGCAAUGCAGGCACCCAAGCUGUUCUUCGAAGGGUGGCAGGGCUUCUGUCAGAUUGACACAGUUCCCACGUGUAAAAUAUUUCCCAUCCUAUUUCAAUACAUUCAUUGAGGGGUCAAAAAUCAGUCCGAGAAACUCCCACGUGGAAUCUUGUUCCGGAGAUGUGGAUAUUGGAACAGCUGUCAAAUCAUUAGUCACAUAAUCCAAUUCUCUCCCUUCUCUGGUGUGCCUCUUCAGUAUUGGAAUACAGUCUUCUAUCAGAGCCUGAUAGCAGUCUCCUUUCAGAUUGUCUACAACAUCACCACAUGUGUUUUGCAUAUAUUUCUUACAUCCAUCAAUCACCAUUUGGUCAAUCUCUACCAUAGUGACCAUCUUUGAUUUUAGUUUGACUGUUUCACAUAAUAUGCCCCCAUCUCAGCCUCUGAGAGUCAGUACCUCUUUGCCAGUGCAAUCUGCUUUGCUGCUGCCCAUGAUGGCCCAGGUAUAUGCAAAUCACUCUGCCAAAUCAACAUCUCUACUAAGGAUGAGAAUAUUUCCAAAUUGCUUCUAGUGUAGAAUUUUAAUGUUCCAAUAAGGUGAAUCUUCAUUAUACACCACUUCAUCUAUGUCAUAUUCGACCAGGCGCCCAUUGGUGGUGGACCAAUGUCUGUUGAUGGCCCCUCUUCAGACUACGGGUGGUAAUGGCUUCACCAGCCCAGUACUGUCUUGACUCAAUUCUUUCAUUCUUUUUUCUACUUUGUUCGAAAGGCUGUCGAUCUCUUCUUUGCCCUGCAGGUCACCAUUGUAACUCUGAAGGUCCAGCAACAUCAAUCCAUGUAGGUAAAUUCUUAAAUUGGCAAAGAUGCUAUUUCUGUGUUUCCAUUUGUAGAUUGCCAAAUAGCCACGGUCCUGCCAGGUGUGCACUGACUCCGCCAUCCCGUGCUCCUGGAAAAUGGACUGGAGGCCUGUUAGAAUGGUCUUGCCAUCAGCUUUGGCACUGAGCAUGAAUUUGAUCUUGCUGUGCCAUGCUGCUGUCACAGUGAGGCGAGGCCCUCCUGUGCCAUGCUUCAGGGAGGUGGCUGUGGGAGCCAGGGGGUGGGGGCAUGCCCGUGUCAGGCUGUGGCCCACAGGAGUCAAAACAGUAUGUUUUGAGUCUACCAAUGUUCAUCUUGUUAAGCCCUUAAUGCCUACUUGUAUCAGUACCACAAGAAGCCCCAAAAUCUCAAGUGCUUUUCUCAUCUCUCACGUUCUAAUGCUCAUAAGGCUCAGCACACCUAGUAUUCUGUCUCUUUCUCCCUAUCCAACUCCUGAAACUCUCUGACUAUGCCUCCUAGACUUCGAAGUCCACUGUUAGCAAAAUGCCCAAUAUCCUCAACCUCAUCUCCAAGUGUUCUCUUCACCUUUUUGUUCUCAUGGAAGUAUGGCUUGCCUUCCUAAGAGGCUGCUCUCCCACAACCCUCUCAAGUGACGGCUGACUUUUUCCCUCCAAUGCUUGCAUCACUUGUGUCUGGAGAUAGGAAAGUGGUGUCCUUGUUCUGCAUUGCUACUUCUGGAACAUUCUUCACCACUCCUCCCUGAAACCUACUGCUAUAAAUCUCCUUUCAUCAGGUUAUUUCACCCACUACUCUUAGAUGUGGAUAGCAGACUCAGACCUCCAGGUAACUCCACAACUUUCCUGACUGACUCCCAAGUCAAUGUCACUUCCUGAACACUAAUCCUGUUUUAAUCCUUGGCAAUUUAAUAUACACACAGAUAUUCAUUCCAACCAGUACAACCCGUAGACCUGGGCAAACAAGGACUUGGUCUCCAUGCUCCAUGCCUUAAACAACUCUAAAGUUUAAGAGUUAGAGACCACCUCUCUGGUGGCCAGGUUCUUUUGGUGGGGUCACUUAAGCCUACACCCAGAUCCACGUGGACCCUAUCCCCGUUUCUCCCCUUCAGUGUGCUCUUCACCUUUCUUCUGACCCCAAAACUCAUUGUAGUCUUGACCAAAUGCCCCAAGGAGCUGCAGAGCUCCCACUUACGAAGUCAGCCGUGGAUGUGUAGACAGGUCCUGGUUCUAGGAAGGCAGUUUGGCAAGUGGAUUGCUCUGGUGGCUGGUGCCCCCAUUUCCUUUCCAAAAUUGUGGAAGAUCGGCAACCAGAACCAGAAGGGUGCUGCCACAUUGAGUUUGGGUAACUCGCAUUGUUUCCAUAGACACCCCGUCUCCUACCCUCCUACUCUCCCUCUUAUUUUAUGUUUUUAAAAAUUAGUUUGUUUGAAUCAAGAUCCAAACAAGGUCUACCAUACAUUGCAAUUGGUUGAUAUGUCUCUUAAAUCUCUAUUUAUCUAUUGGUUCAUCUUUCCUUUCUUUUCCCUUCAUAAUUUACUAUAGAUGAAGAAACCUUAUGUCCUAUAGAGCUCUCCACAGUCUGAAUUUUACUGAUUUUGUUCCCG
rnacentral:lncRNA from 1 species